rnacentral:rRNA from 1 species
UGGGGAAUAUUGCACAAUGGGCGCAAGCCUGAUGCAGCCAUGCCGCGUGUGUGAAGAAGGCCUUCGGGUUGUAAAGCACUUUCAGCGGGGAGGAAGGCGUUAAGGUUAAUAACCUUGGCGAUUGACGUUACCGACAGAAGAAGCACCGGCUAACUCCGUGCCAGCAGCCGCGGUAAUACGGAGGGUGCAAGCGUUAAUCGGAAUUACUGGGCGUAAAGCGCACGCAGGCGGUUGAUUGAGUCAGAUGUGAAAUCCCCGGGCUUAACCCGGGAAUUGCAUCUGAUACUGGUCAGCUAGAGUCUUGUAGAGGGGGGUAGAAUUCAAUGUGUGGCGGUGAGAUGCGUAGAGAUGUGGAGGAAUACCGGUGGCGAAGGCGGCCCCCUGGACAAAGACUGACGCUCAGGUGCGAAAGCGUGGGGAGCAAACAGG